UUGUAACCUAUAGAAGCGUUUUCUGUGCCUGGCCCCUUAUGAGUCUGUUGGAAUAUAGCGUCAAAGAGGGUGAGAACCCCGUUCGUGAUGGGUGUCCAGUGUGCUCUGUGAUACGCUCUCUAAGAGUCGAGUUGUUUGGGAAUGCAGCUCUAAUUGGGUGGUAAAUUCCAUCUAAAGCUAAAUAUUGACGAGAGACCGAUAGCGAACAAGUACCGUGAGGGAAAGAUGAAAAGCACUUUGGAAAGAGAGUUAACAGUACGUGAAAUUGCUAUAAGGGAAACGCUUGAAGUCAGACAUGCUCCGUGCGUUCAGCCGAAAGGUGUACUCGUACGGUUGCAGGCUAGAGUCUGUUCUUGGGGUCGGAUAAGGGUCUUGGGAAUGUGGCCGGUUCGCCGGUGUUAAGCCCUGGACUUGAUACGGCUCUGGGGACAGAGGACCGCAGCGCGCCUUCUUGGCAUUGGCUUCGGCCUUUUCCGCGCUAAGGAUUCUGGCUUAAUGGCUUUAAGCGACCCGUCUUGAAACACGGACCAAGGAGUCUAACAUGCCUGCGAGUGUUUGGGUGUAAAACCCGUGCGCGUAAUGAAAGUGAAUGGAGGUGGGAUCCGCAAGGUGCACCAUCGACCGGUCUGGAUUUUCUAUGAUGGAUCUGAGUAAGAGCAUGUAUGUUGGGACCCGAAAGAUGGUGAACUAUGCCUGAAUAGGGUGAAGCCAGAGGAAACUC
rnacentral:rRNA from 1 species